GUGGGGAAUAUUGCACAAUGGGGGAAACCCUGAUGCAGCGACGCCGCGUGAGUGAAGAAGUACUUCGGUACGUAAAGCUCUAUCAGCAGGGACGAAGAUGACGGUACCUGACUAAGAAGCCCCGGCUAACUACGUGCCAGCAGCCGCGGUAAUACGUAGGGGGCGAGCGUUAUCCGGAUUUACUGGGUGUAAAGGGAGCGUAGGUGGCGAAGCAAGUCAGAUGUGAAAGCCCGGGGCUUAACUCCGGGACUGCAUUUGAAACUGUUUUGCUAGAGUGCAGGAGAGGUAAGUGGAAUUCCUAGUGUAGCGGUGAAAUGCGUAGAUAUUAGGAGGAACACCAGUGGCGAAGGCGGCUUACUGGACUGUAACUGACACUGAGGCUCGAAAGCGUGGGGAGCAAACAGGAUUAGAAACCCUAGUAGUCC
rnacentral:rRNA from 1 species